GACGAACGCUGGCGGCGUGCUUAACACAUGCAAGUCGAACGGAAAGGCCCUGCUUGCAGGGUACUCGAGUGGCGAACGGGUGAGUAACACGUGGGUGAUCUGCCCUGCACUUCGGGAUAAGCUUGGGAAACUGGGUCUAAUACCGGAUAGGAGCCAUCUUUAGUGUGGUGGUUGGAAAGUUUUUUCGGUGUAGGAUGAGCUCGCGGCCUAUCAGCUUGUUGGUGGGGUAAUGGCCUACCAAGGCGGCGACGGGUAGCCGGCCUGAGAGGGUGUACGGCCACCUUGGGACGGAGGAACGGCCCAAGCCCCUACGGGGGGGCGAAGGGGGGAAUUGUGAAAAAGGGGGCAAAGCCCGGUGAAGGAACCCCCGGGGGGGGAUGAAGCCCUUGGGGUUUAAAAACCCUUUCCCGAGGAACGAAGCUUUGUUGGAAGGGAACUAAAGAAAAAACCACCGCCAAAUUAGGU
rnacentral:rRNA from 1 species